rnacentral:rRNA from 1 species
UACAUGGGGUGCAAACGUUGCUCGGAAUCACUGGGCGUAAAGCGCACGUAGGCGGACUCUUAAGUCAGGGGUGAAAUCCUGGAGCUCAACUCCAGAACUGCCUUUGAUACUGGGAGUCUUGAGUUCGGGAGAGGUGAGUGGAACUGCGAGUGUAGAGGUGAAAUUCGUAGAUAUUCGCAAGAACACCAGUGGCGAAGGCGGCUCACUGGCCCGAUACUGACGCUGAGGUGCGAAAGCGUGGGGAGCAAACAGG